rnacentral:lncRNA from 1 species
GUGCUUCCUUGCUACUUGAAGCUGCUGGACCCCACCUCGCACGUACGAGUUGGCACGUGCCACAUGGCUCUCGAUGUCGUCCAAUUGUUCUCCCUGAGACUGCACCAACACAGCCAUGUCAAGGAAGACCUGGUGCAGCUCAUUCAGGUUUCUCUCUAUCUCUUUCACUGUGUCGUGCCUUUCUUGAAUCUCUUGGAUCGUCUCCAUCACACUCGCUCUACCUUGCUGCUGAAUCGCUUUCUGCAAAAAUGUUUCACUCUCACCUGUUCCAACAUAGUUAACACUUAAAUUCAUGUUUUUUUGGGUAUUAUAGUAUCUCAAAACAAAUAAAUCUGUAUUCAUGAAAUUGAACUAAUAAUUUAGUAAAACGAUAAUGAUUUUGGGUUUAAAAUAAUGUCCAAAUGAUGUUUUGACCUGAUUUCUUUAAUUUAGGAGUCAUCACUCGUGUUUCAUUCACUUCUAUCUUAUUUUUCUUUCUAUAUUGUUUUUUUUUCAUUACAUCACUUACAAUAGUUUCAUUUCCUCUCUCUUUUUCCAAUUCACUUCAAAUUAAUUAAUUUUAGCUUAAACUUAUAAAGAAGAAGUUAUAGUAGAGGAGUUGGUUAAAAUAACUUGUAUCUAUCUAUCGUUAUGUGUAAUUAAAUGUCUACUUAAUGUCUUAUCUUUCGUAUAUGAAAAUAUAUAUAAGGUGAUUUAAUAACAAUCUAAUAACGGAUGACUCAGACAAAUUUUUGUUUAAAAUAAAUUUUAAAUGAUUCUAAAGGAAUUUUAAGUCUAACUUAUAAAGUAAGAUUUUCAUCAAUUUAUAAAUAAUUAAAUUUACCAAUAUUCUAUCAUAAACAACUUAAUAUGAAACAAAAAAUUGAAAAGUGAUACGCACCAGUAGAAAUGAGAAGGUCAAUGGUUUUGUCAUCAGGGUUCUCUCCGGUAACGGUAUAAUAUCUCCGCUGGACGGUUUCCCUGUACUCCGACGAUAUCUGUUGUCUAAGGCUAUUGAAGUUGUCCAUGGAGUCCUUCAACUUCUUCCUCAAUCCGUUCACCACAGAUGUUCUGGUCCGGUCCG